rnacentral:rRNA from 1 species
UACGUAGGGUGCAAGCGUUUAAUCGGAAUUACUGGGCGUAAAGCGUGCGCAGGCGGUUGUGCAAGACAGAUGUGAAAUCCCCGGGCUUAACCUGGGAAUUGCAUUUGUGACUGCACGGCUAGAGUGUGUCAGAGGGGGGGUAGAAUUCCACGUGUAGCAGUGAAAUGCGUAGAUAUGUGGAGGAAUACCGAUGGCGAAGGCAGCCCCCUGGGAUAACACUGACGCCUCAUGCACGAAAAGCGUGGGGGAGCAAACAGG